rnacentral:rRNA from 1 species
UACGUAGGGGGCUAGCGUUGUCCGGAUUUAUUGGUCGUAAAGAGCGUGUAGGCGGCCAGGUAGGUCUGCUGUGAAAACUCGAGGCUCAACCUCGAGACGUCGGCGGAAACCAUCUGGCUAGAGUCCGGAAGAGGAGAGUGGAAUUCCUGGUGUAGCGGUGAAAUGCGCAGAUAUCAGGAAGAACACCCGUGGCGAAGGCGGCUCUCUGGGACGGUACUGACGCUGAGACGCGAAAGCGUGGGGAGCGAACAGG